rnacentral:rRNA from 1 species
CUAUGGAUGCUAGCUGUUGGUCGUAUCGACCCGAUCAGUAGCGAAGCUAACGCGUUAAGCAUCCCGCCUGUGGAGUACGAGCGCAAGCUUAAAACAUAAAGGAAUUGACGGGGACCCGCACAAGCGGUGGAGCGUGUUGUUUAAUUCGAUGAUAAGCGAAGAACCUUACCCAGACUUGACAUCCUUGGAAAGACUACGAAAGUAGACUGUGUCUUCGGAAGCCAAGUGACAGGUGUUGCAUGGCCGUCGUCAGCUCGUGUCGUGAGAUGUUUGGUUAAGUCCAUCAACGAGCGCAACCCUUAUAGUUAGUUGUAUUUUUCUAGCUAGACUGCCCUGGCAACAGGGAGGAAGGAGGGGAUGAUGUCAGGUCAGUAUUACCCUUACGUCUGGGGCUACAAACACGCUACAAUGGCCGGUACAAAGGGACGCCAACCCGCGAGGGGGAGCAAAUCCCAUCAAAGCCGGUCUCAGUUCGGAUUGCAGGCUGAAACUCGCCUGCAUGAAGCUGGAAUCGCUAGUAACGGUAAGUCAGCACAUUACCGUGAAUACGUUCCCGGGUCUUGUACACACCGCCCGUCAAACCAUGAAAGUCGCCAAUACCUGACGUCCUAGCUUGUCUAGGCCUAAGGUAGGGGAGAUGAUUGGGGUUAAGUCGUAACAAGGUAACC